GAGUUUGAUCCUGGCUCAGGAUAAACGCUGGCGGCGUGCCUAAUACAUGCAAGUCGAUCGCUGGAAACCUAGCUUGCUAGGUGGAAGGAGAGGCGAACGGGUGAGUAAUACAUAAGCAACCUGCCUACAAAGACUGGGAUAAUCUCUGGAAACGGGGACUAAAACCGGAUAGGUAAUAAGAUCACAUGAUCCUAUUAUUAAAGGUCAGAAACACUAGUAGAUGGGCUUAUGGUGCAUUAGUUAGUUGGUAAGGUAACGGCCUACCAAGACGAUGAUGCAUAGCCGGGCUGAGAGGCUGAACGGCCACAUUGGGACUGAGACACGGCCCAGACUCCUACGGGAGGCAGCAGUAGGGAAUUUUCGGCAAUGGGGGCAACCCUGACCGAGCAACGCCGCGUGAGUGAUGAAAGUCUUCGGAUUGUAAAGCUCUGUUAUAAGGGAAGAACGUCCUUGAUAGAAUCGAGGAGUGACGGUACCUUAUCAUAA
rnacentral:rRNA from 1 species